CUACGGGGGGCAGCAGUGAGGAAUAUUGCACAAUGGGGGGAACCCUGAUGCAGCAACGCCGCGUGGAGGAUGACGCAUUUCGGUGUGUAAACUCCUUUUAUAUGUCAAGAAAAUGACGGUAGCAUAUGAAUAAGCACCGGCUAACUCCGUGCCAGCAGCCGCGGUAAUACGGAGGGUGCAAGCGUUACUCGGAAUCACUGGGCGUAAAGGACGCGUAGGCGGGUUGGAAAGUCAGGUGUGAAAUCCUACAGCUUAACUGUAGAACUGCACUUGAAACUUCUAAUCUAGAGUAUGGGAGGGGGAGAUGGAAUUAGUGGUGUAGGGGUAAAAUCCGUAGAUAUCACUAGGAAUACCUAAAGCGAAGGCGAUCUCCUGGAACAUUACUGACGCUAAGGCGUGAAAGCGUGGGGAGCAAACAGGAUUAGAUACCCCAGUAGUC
rnacentral:rRNA from 1 species